GAGACAGGAAAGCAGCCCUCUCAGCUGACCAGGCCGAGGACUGGGCCAGGCUCAGGGGAGGGGAGAGGAUGGGGAGAGAGAUGCUCUGAACAGGGGAGAUGGGAGACUGAGCUGCCGCGCCCCCAGCAGGAACGCAAGCUGGUACAACUGGAGUCCUCAAGCCCAGGAGGCAGGUGGGGUCUGGGAAUGCCUCAGCAGCCCGGGUACUUCCUCUGGGGCAGGCGCUGGCCCCGUGGAAAGUAGCUCAGGGCCUGCGAGUGAAUCAGAGCCAGGCCUGGCGGACUCUGGGAGAAACCCUCAGCGCGCUUACUCCUGGAGGCGGGGGUGGCCCCGCGCUCUUCAGUGCAAGGGCCUCGAAAGAGGCAGCUCUUUCCCCCCACUGCUUAUGGCUUGGCCUUCCCAGGGAUUUUAAGGGGAAGGGCGAGGCCUAGGUCUCGCUGGCAUCGAGGUCUCCGAUGAUUCUGAGACCUCGAGGAAGAAUUCUCAUACUUUAGAGGCCACACGCUCUUGGAGAGCACUCGCGGCGAAGGCUGGUGAGGGGCUUUCUCCAGGCGCAAGUGCACAAAAGGUAGCGCGAGUCUCUUUUCAGGCGACCCGAGAUAAGCGGAAAGGAGAGCGGGUUUUUUUCUGACUUCCAACUCAUUAGGGACCAGGGCUGCUUGAGCUUAAAUCAUCACAGAAAGAGAGAAAGGCUAAUUGCUAAAACUUUUUGAAGUCGGAAAACUUGGUUAAAUUAGUAACCAAGGGCAUCAUCAUCUUAGCAACAGGAAGUCUUCGAAAAGCUCAGGUCCCAGACAAAUCCUGCCAUCUCUCAGUGGAAGUGAUGGGCGGCACCAGUUUAAAGAACUCACCGAUCUCUUGUUAGCCUGGAGUUGUGUUUGAAAAGCAAAAGCCCUGACCGUGGCUGUCAGCCCUCUCAGACACAACAUCUGCUGCCUGUCUGUCAUCAUCAGCUUCAGGUCAUGAAGAGUUGGUUGAGAAAGAAGAAAACGUGGAAUAUCUGGUUUUAGAUCAUCCCAAACUCUAAUUAUCCCAUCAAUAAAAUGUCACUUCAGGUCUGGUUAUUUGAUGAACAGGAAAGAGGUGGAAAAUUUAAAAGGCCUGAAGUAACCUUUUGGAUUGAAGAGAGACCUUCUCAAAUCAGAAGACUUUUUUUUUUUUUUUGGAUCCUGGAUGUUAGCAGUUUCCUUUAAAAAAAAAAUACUCUGGAAACCCUCUAUAAAUGAAAGAAAUGUGUAUAGUAUGCAAAUCAAAGUGUGUUGUCCUCAUUUACCCAGUGGAAUUCAAAAUAAGCCCCAACUUGUGAACAUAUUAAAGCAGAUUGAAAUGGAUAUUAGCGGGAUUUGUAAGGAGAAGCACUCCAGUCGGUCAAACAUGCUAUGCACAAGAACUUUGAUAAUGUUGUUUUACUGAUAAUUACCUGCCGGCUGUCACCUCAAAGUGGGAUUUCAUGCAGGUUGCAGUAUUUAAACAUUACAUUGGGAGCCAAGCCUGCAAAGACGCUUACACCAAUCUGGCCAUGUUCAUUUUAUUUCCCAAUUAUCUGUGACUUUCUUCAUGAAAAGCAAUGCAGUUAACUCCCUUUUAAUUGUGUUUGAUCUGUGUGGGCAAGAGAACAUCAAUACCACAUUCCCUCUUCCCAGGUCCAGAGCAGGUUCUGCCCUCUCCCUCACAGACAUCAGCAGACACCAGAAUUACUGGAAAGCAACACUUCCUGGUGGGCAUGAAUAUUCAUCUGACCUCCAAAGCUGGUGGGCUGGGGCCAAGCAAACCCCUUAGACUUAUAUUAACUAAAGGUGGUUUAAACAGGAAGGACCAUCUUAUGUGGUCUUCCCAGGGCCACUAGCUCCUGCAGAUCCUCCAGCUCGCAGAAAACUUCCUUUUCUUUGUACCCUCCCCCCACUUUUUCCCCCAUACUGAACUCCUAAUUAAAUUUAACAGUUUCAAGAGUUUAAACUGUAUACCUUUUUAAUUGUGUCCUACUUUGUAUUGGCUGAUGCACAAGUCUGAAAAUGGAUAUUACAGCUUUUUAUGAUAUAAUAUCACCCUAAUUGGUGCUUCAUAAGGCCGUGGCUGAAUUCUUUUCAAUUGAGCCCUAACAUACAGUAACUGUUUCUCUCUGCAAAUGCUGGAAAGCCAUUCAUAAGAGAGGACUGGUACUGCACAAUUCCAAAGUACCUUAAUGUGUCAAAAAUGUUUUGUGAAGAAAGCUACACUGUAAAUGCAAUCACCUACAUUGGUGUUCCCAUUGUUAACUGGAAGUGAAAGUAUUGCUAAUUGUCCUGCGUUUUAGCUGGGUUUUUAAAGCAUUAUGUAGUAAGUACACCGGAGGGUCAAUUUGUGAAGUGAAAUACUUAGCAUGCAAAGCGUAAUACAAGAUGCUGUGUAAUACUUGACCUCUCAGCAUAAUAAAUGUAGCAGUGAAACGCUGUGCAUUCAGUAUUCACUGAAUAGAGCCUUCGCAGUGGAACAAAACCAGAAAAUGUUCUCUUCAUUCCUUUUUUUUUUUUUCACUAAGCGAAAAUUAUUCUUUAUAAUGGCCAUUGCAGCAAUUAGCUGGCAUUUGGUAGAAUAAAUGUGCAGAAAUAGCAAUUUCUUAUUUUAAAUGAGAUUUUGUAUGGAGCCUGCAAAUUACUUGAGGUAUAUGAAUAAUUGUGCCUUAGCUUUAUGCUACAGAAUAGGGUGUGGGUGGGUAUAAAGAUUUCCUAUUUGCAGUUAAAUGUUUAGACAUUUUAUUAUUUUAAUUUCACUCACAGACUGCCUGGACUGACCCUGCCUUCCCAUUGAUCAUUUCAUGUGCGCCUGGAAGCAAGUGUGCAGAUGGCGGGAGACUCCCAAUUAGUGCACCAUGUUUUUUAUGAAUGUGACAUGUACGUGCAAUCAGGUCUCCCCUGGAGGCAAUGGCAGUGUAGAGACUUUGAGUUUCUAAAUCAAUACAAGUUAAUAAUCUGCAUGGAAUGGAUGUUUAUCUAUAUUCUCUGUGGUCAAAUGCAAUUGGAAACUUCAUUACAUUUUUACCCAAAGUUUUUCCCCUUAUUGAAAUGCAUUCUUCCAGGCAUUCAUGAUUCAUCUAAUUAGCCUUAAAUAGGGUAUUUUUUUUCUUCUCUCAAAGUGAUUCAGUUAAUUAUGUCCAUCUAUUCAUAAUUAUAAGGUGGAUGAGUCGGAUAAAACUGAAAUUAUGAAAUCUGCAGAGAUUCAACGAGGUUUAGAACGUACAAUGUAAAAAAGGAUUGAGUAAAUCAGAGCAUUGUAAUACUUUGUUUUAAUCCCCCUCAGCCCACCCCACCCCAACUGCUUUCUCACAGGGUUUUAUAUACUUACUUUUUUCACUUGUCAUUUGUAAUCCAACAACUUGCUAAAAUUGAUUUGAGGUAAGCUCAUAGUGAUUGAUAAUACUCACAAUAAAGCAAACACCACAAAUACUAAUAACACUUGACUAAUGUGUCCAAAACUAUUUUUAAUUGAAAAAAACUUUAAAAUAACAUAUCGUCAUUUAAAGGUUAACUCUUCAAAUAGUAAAGGGAGAAAUUUCCUUUCACCCACUGACCACCAUCCAAGUUCUCCUACUGAUGUACCUACUUUAGCAGCUCUCUUAUAUGUUCUUAUUCCACCUUUUCAAGUCCUUUCUUAUUACAGUCCUUCCCAUAUUUUACUUGCAUAUUCUAUUCAUAAGUACGCUACACAAUAUUGUAAGUUUCAAGCAUUUUAUUUUAUUUUCUCCAGACAACUUUUCUAGCUCAAUAACUUUUUUUAGUCUUUAAAAUUAUGUUUUUGGAUUUUUUUUAGUUAAAUGAAAGUACAAUCUACCUUAAUUUUUAUUUUAGCUAAGACCGAAGCACAUUCAACUUUUUACUCAAACCAUUGAGUGAUGCCAAAAAUUCCUCUGCCAAAUGCUAUAAUGAAGGCAACCCAUUAUCAAAUGACAUAGCUCAUGUGUUAAAUCCAACCUGUGAUACUACAAAAUUGGAAAUAGCCCCAAUUAGUGAUUGUUCAUCUAAUCUUGGUAAAUGAUGUUCUCACAUAGCAAGCAGAUACUAAUUCUCUAUCUUUCUACAAGCAAGGCUUGUUGGCUACACUCCCUCACAACAAGCCCCGGAGAGGGUGCUGGGUCAUUGUAUUACUGUCUUUGCCCAGUGGUCAUACUCAAGAGUUUUAACAAAUUGCAUAGCCACUGGGCAGAAAGAAUUGUGUGAUUUCUGUCUUAUUUGAACUCCUCAUGAUUUUUUACCAAUGAGACAAAUAAUAAGUCACAAUCAGAGUUUUAUCAUUUGAAAUGAUUUGUAGUAAACCCAGGUAGCUGACUGCAAAAAUAAAUUUCUUUUUAAAUUGGAUAUAUAAAAUGAAAGAAUGUGAGUUACGUUAUUUUUCUUUUAAUUAUUCCUUUCUGAAAUAUCCCCCUUAAGACUUUCCAAAGGAGAAGAGUGGUGGACUGAGGGUAAAAUUUCAUUCAUAUCUUUGUGGGGUAUAUGCAAGUGUUAUAUAAAUAACCAUAUAAGUAAAGAUACUGGUAUGUUAGAACAGAGACAGAAAAAUGUCAACUGUGUUUUCCCAUUACUGUUAUUAAAUAAUAAUGCUCUGGUC